rnacentral:rRNA from 1 species
UACGGGGGGAGCAAGCGUUGUUCGGAUUUACUGGGCGUAAAGGGCGCGUAGGCGGUACUUCAAGUCAGGCGUGAAAGCCCCGGGCUCAACCUGGGAACCGCGCUUGAGACUGGAGAACUAGAGUUCGGGAGAGGAUAGUGGAAUUCCCAGUGUAGAGGUGAAAUUCGUAGAUAUUGGGAAGAACACCGAUGGCGAAGGCAGCCAUCUGGACCGACACUGACGCUGAGGCGCGAAAGCGUGGGGAGCAAACAGG